UCAUUUCUAUGGAAUACAUAUAUUUUAACAAAAGGAAGACCAGUGCUCCCCUAUGGUGAAUGAUGCAACUAUGAAUAAGGUAUGUUUAAUAAUGUCAUGGUGGGGGUGGGGGCGCCUAAAACAAAAACACAAAUAACUAUCUUAUAUAGUUCUUUGAUGGGAAAGACUUUCUUUUCUACUUAUUAUGAUGAUGAUGUAAACUCAUAAUGUUUACAGUUUCCUAUAUGACAUCAGUGCUUCUUAAACUUUAGUGUGGGUGAAGAAUCACCUGGAGAACCUGAUAAAGGAGAGAUUUGGGGGCCUCCUUUCUAAGUAUUCUGAGUCAACACGCAUGGAUUGGGACUCUAGAAUUAGCAUUUCUAACAAGUUCCCCGGUGAUAUUGAUGCUGAAGCUUCAGGGAUCAUACUCCUUUUUUUUAAUGUACAUUUUUUUAUUUAGAGAAGGAGAAAGACCAGAGGGAGGGGUAGAGAGAGAGGAGAGAGAGAGAGAGAGAGAGAGAGAGAGACCCCCAAGAAGGCUCUGUGCUGUCAGUGCGGAGCUUGACUUGGGGCUCAAUUUCACAAAUUGUGAGAUCGUGACCUGAGCCAAAAUCAAGAAUCCGACAACCAACUGAGCCACCCAGGCACCCCUAAGGGAUCACCCUUUGAGUAGUUUUAGUGUAUCCAACAGCCCUAAGAGGUGGAUAGAAUUACUUCUAAUAUAUGAAUGGAGAGAAUGACACUCAAAGGAGCAUAGUUGACUAAUCUAUGGCCCUAUGACUAGUGAAUGACAACAUUGGGAUUUAGGUCCUCCAAGCUGUGAUCAAGUGUCAUUGGUCUUGUAUCCCACUGCCUAUGUACAAUCUGCACAACUUUGAAUGCUUUAACUCAAUUCUUAUUUCAGCCAGGCAAAAAAGUGAGGACUUUUGCUCGUAAUCUUUUAUGACACUCAGAGCUCACAUCAGUACUUCAGUACUUCUCUGUGGACAUCAGUCCCUAGAGCCUGCGGGUCCCUGAAAUCCUUUCUGAGUGUCUUCAAGGGAAAAAUUAUUUUCAUAAUAAUAGUAAAAUGUCAUUUGCCUUUUUCCUCGGGCGACAUUUGCAAGUAUGUUGGAAAAGCGACGGUAGGUAAAACUGCUGGCACGUCAACACGAAUUGAGGCCGCGGUCCCAAAUUGUACUGGUAGUCAUUGAGUUUUCAUUGCCAUACACUCGCAGUUAAAAAAUGCCAGUUACACUUCAGAAUAUCUUUAUAAAGAAGUAAAGGUUAUUAAUUUUAUUAAAUCUCAGCCUUUGCGUGCACGUCAUGUUAACAUUCUGCAUGACAAAACAACAGAGUGGUGGUUGUGAGGGGUCGGGGUAAGAGAGGGGGAACGUGGGUGAAAGUGGUCAGAGGAUACAGACUUCCAGUUAUCAGAUGAACAUGUUCUGAGAUGUAAUGUACAGCCUGAUGAUUGUAGUUAACAAUACCAUAUUGUCUAUUGGAACGUUGCUAAGAAGAGUAGAUCUUAAAAGUUCUCAACACACACACACACACACAAACACACACACACACACAAUUUGUAACUAUGUGAGGUGAUGGAUAUGUUAACUAACUUUAUUGUGGUAAUCAUUUUGCAAUUUAUACAUAUAUCAACUCACUACACUGUAUAUUUUAAACUUACACAAUAUAUUAACAUCUCAAUAAAACUGGGCAAAAAUAAAGUGCUUCGGUUGCAUACUGAACUACAAUGGCUGUCUUGGAGAAAAACGUGUAUAUUUGACCUAUAUGCUGAAAAGCCCCUUUUUUUCAUGGAACAUCAUAUUUAGUUGGAACUGUCAGGCAAACUAGGGCUAUUCUGAUUUAUUUGGCAGAUGUUUUCUUGAAACUCAAUGAAGUGAGCCGAUCAUUUUAAAGAAGCAACUGACAUUAUUUGUUGCCAGUGAAAAAAUUUGAGCUUUCGCACAAAAAUUCAAAAUUUGGAAAACUUGUAUUCACCACCAUGAACUAGAGAGUUUCCUAAUACCUAAAGACUUUUCUAAUGAGAAUAAUGAUCAUAUUGAUGAAUGUGAUUUUUUGACAUUGUAUAAUGAAUGGGUUAGCAUUUGGAAGAUCUGAAUACCUCAGUUGAUCAGUGAUUUUCAAGUGACUAAUCAUGUGUGGUUAACAAAAAGUUCCACUCAAAGUGCAAGAUAGACCAAAGGCUUUUAAUGUAACAGAGUACAAAAAGUUCAUGGAUAUGGUUUCCGAUUUCACAUUUUGGUGUAGAAGCAAUGAAUAACUAUAAUUGUCUGAAAAAACUGUUAAAGCACUCCUUACUUUUCUAACAACAUAUCUCUGUGAGGCUACUUUUUUUUUCAUGUAUUUUAACUGAACAGCAUAUCACAAAAAACUGAAUACAGAAACAGAUAUAAGAAAUGAAAGGUCUUCUAACAAGCUAGAAGUUUGAGAGAAAUGAAAACGUUCAAUAAUGCUGCUCCUCUCACUGAAGCGGAAGCUGGAAAGCGGAUAAUAGAUGAGGAACCACAGUUUCCAGGUCUUUGUGCAACAGGAUGUGGCCAUUUAACUAAUUCUCACCAAUGCAAUUAGCAGAAGUGAUGUGUACUGUUUUGGGACCAAGGCUAUUGUGAAACAGGUAAUUUUCACAACCACUCUAUAACAUUGGUAUUAUCAUCACCCUUUAACAAGUGAAGACACUGAUAUGUUGAGAGGUUGAGUAGCGUGGCCGGGGUCACACAGCUGGGGAGGUUCUGACUCCAGAGCAUAGGCCCUUGACAACAACUAAUGGGUAGCAUUUUCAUAUUCAUGUGAAAUCUUCUCAGAGCAAAUCCAGGGAAGUUUACAUAAUCUAAAUGUCAUUGGCGAGAGCUGAAAUAAAUUUAUAAUCACACUCUAUCAAAUAUCCUAAGCCUUUUGAAAAGUUGCUUUUGGCUAAAUGAUGGCUGGAUCAUAAACCUUAUCAUCUUAUGAAAGCACUCAGGGGCUACAAAUUUUUAAGGUUUUCAUUUCCUGUGGAAAAAAGAAAAUGUUCUUUGUUGCACUCUGCUGCUGAAUUUUGACCAGGGAGUAAAAGAUGCCUUUCUCUGUGGAAAAGGGCAAGACACUUCCAUUUGUUUUUCCCCGAGGGACUGGCUAUUUGGUCUAAUUUUUGUGAUAAGCUGACUAAGGGUCAGGGAAUGUCAAGAGCGCAAAAGGCAGCAGAACCUUGGACAGGAAAAAGGCUGGUAUCAGGUGGAGACCAUAAAUAAUAGAAUGCCUGCCUGGGAAGGGUCUGACCCAGGAGACAUGGAGUUAACUAUCUUAAAUCAGUUAAAGCUAGACUCGGAAUCUACAUAACGGGUCAGGUCAAAAUUUGGUUAAUGAAGCUGAAGUUCAAAUCAGAGAAAGAAAUUUAAGCUGAGGAAGCUGUAAAAGUCACAUUUAGUGAAUUAAAAAAGUGAGGAUAUGCCAGCUUGCACCUUGUCCUCACCAAGGCCUGCUUAAUAGUUGAUGGCAGAAGAGGUAAGACAGGGGGUGGGUGUUCAGUCUGCUAAAGGUUUGCUUACAAUUUAUAGAAAGAAAAACAAUAAAGUCCUAAUAAGACGUCUGGAAGCAAGAAAGAACAAGGAAACAGUCACAAUCAUUUUAAGUUCCUGUUGGGAAAUUUAAAUUUUCAAAUUCCUGUUGGGAAAUCGAUUUUUAUUUCUAUGGAGAGAAAAUGUGGUAGUCACUUCAUCCUUAAGGAUAUGGGAAUGGCUUUUCUUGACAUUAGGAUAUUCCCAAAUCCAGGAGUUAUACGUUUUCUUACUUCCUACUUUCUGUAUGUUGCUUUAAUUUUUAGAAUCAAAUCAUAGAUCAUUAUUACCCAAAUCCCUUGCCAUUCUGAAUAAUGUAAAUAAUAAAUAUUACAAAGCUUCAAGUCAACCAGUAAUUUAUUUAGCACUACCUCCUCCCCCAGUAUCACACUAAAUGAAAGGAUAACAGAUGCGCGACUAUGUAUAUCCUCUCUUUGUCCAUGGAAGAAAUUCUUAAUUGGUCAAGACACACAAAACUUGAUCUUGGAUCUUUUUCAACAUGUGUUUCAGGUGAUUAUUCACAUUUAACCUGAGUUAAUACUUGAGGUGAAAACUAAGGUACUAUUAAGUGCUAAUAGUGGAUAGAAAAAAAGUUAUCAAUUUGGACUAACUUUGGGAUAGAUCAGACUGACUUAAAGAAAUGAAAUGUAUGGUAAUAAGAUACCUAAUUACAAGUGGAAGCCAACUCUGAACUAGGUAUAGCAGAUGCCGUUGACAGUCUGCCAAUGUCUCUUUGGCUACCUGAGUUUUCUUGCAGUUGUGGAAAACUCCCACCCCGUGAUAGUUUCCCACCUUAGGUACACCUGCAUUCUCCCCUUUCUCUGCCCGAGGGUUUCCUCCAGUGUUACUAGAGCUUACUCACUUGGAAGCUAAACCAGAAAGCUUGAGGGAGCUACCCUUCUGGGAGGCAACCUUCAGUCAAUGGUGACAGGAGUGGUAGACACAUGCCCCAGACUCCCUGUUCUUUGGUGGGAGGGUCCUGAUGUUUGUCUCACAAGGUUUCUCAGAAGGUCUCCAGCAAGACUAAGCCCCUCUUGCUUUUUAUUGGCACUUCUCUCUUCCCUGUCUCAUGUUCCUAACUUCCUAACAUGUCUUCCUGGGUUUACCUUCCAAACAAUCUGUCCACCUCUAAGUCUUUAUUUCAGGGUCUGCGUUUAGAGGAUCCAAAAUUAAGAUUCCAGGCUAACUAAAUAUUAUAGGAACCAUUUUAUAAGUGAAUAAUUUUUAUAAUCAAUAUCACUUUUUAAUGUAUAUAGGGGAGUCAUUGAUAUUAUUCACUUACUCUCCUUGUGGGAAGAUUGUACAACCCUACUCUGUUGAAUUUAGGAGUGGCCAUAGGACAUGCUUUGGCUAAUGAAUUGUGGGUGGAAGUGGCACCACUUCCUAACAAAGGUUUAUGAGGUAGCUCAUGGUUUUCCUAUCUCUUUUCCCUCUGCCAUAAGGCAGUCAAAGUUCCAGAUGAAGCUACUCUAUCAGCGCUGAGCCCAGGUAUGAAGAUGACAGAUAUGAGCAGAGUUUCCACUGAACUAUGAUGAACAUAUACAAUGAAUAAGAAAUAGACUUUGUUCUUGUAAAUCACAG